UAAACAUGAGGUGGCAGAUUGAGAAGGCUCAAAGGAUAUUGAGGGGACACGUAGAAGAAGGAAAGAAAAGAGAAAUGGAAAGAGUAUUGGGAAAAGAGGAGAUUUUGGGGAGGAACUCUUCUGUAUCGGUGGUCGGUGGAGUUGUUGUUCUGGAGAUGGAUCUCACUGUUGGUUCUGGAUAUUAAUCUCACUCUACAACUACUACCGAAUCAAGAAAUCCCAAAUUCUUCAAUUGGGCCUUCAUGCCUUUAUUAUAAGUUUAAGUGGAAGAUGCAACUUUGCCGAGUUGUACAAUCCUUAAUUCUUCUCUCAUGGGUUCUGUAACACCCAUGAAUUGGUGUUAGUCCCACAUUGCCAAGAAAGUGGUUGUAUUGGUAGUAUAUAGAGCUUAACCAUACUCUAACUAAUGUCAAGGCCUUUUGGGGUGAACCACAUGGGUGGGCCCUGAUCCAAAACCCUCUACUGCUGGAUAUCCACAGUGACUAAGGGGGACAAUAUUGACAUUAGCGAGCAGUAUGGUGCUCGACGCACUGGGAUGAGCGAGGACGAAAUCCCGGGGCGUUACAGUUGGUAUCAGAGCUGACGACAGGUCGCCUGUUGCAUGUGGGAGUACGCUGGAAGACCCAGGGAGCGCCAGGUACUUGUCUCACUUGGCAGGGAACGUCGGAGAUUUUGGGACUGUACUGAGUGUACUGCAGAGCUGAGGACGGCUCUAUUUCUAAGGUGGUGAGAUUGUAACACCCAUGAGUUGGUGUUAGUCCCACAUUGCCAAGAAAGUGGUUGUAUUGGUAGUAUAUAGAGCUUAACCAUACUCUAACUAAUGUCAAGGCCUUUUGGGGUGAACCACAUGGGUGGGCCCUGAUCCAAAACCCUCUACUGCUGGAUAUCCGCAAUGACUAAAGGGGGACAAUAUUGACAUUAGCGAGCAGUAUGGUGCUCGACGCACUGGGAUGAGCGAGGACGAAAUCCCGGGGCGUUACAGUAUUGUAACACCCAUGAGUUGGUGUUAGUCCCACAUUGCCAAGGAAGUGGCUCUAUUGGUAGUAUAUAGAGCUUAACCAUACUUUAACUAAUGUCAAAGGCCUUUUGGGGUGAACCACAUGGGUAGGCCCUGAUCCAAAACCCUCUACUGCUGGAUAUCCGCAGUGACUAAAGGGGGACAAUAUUGACAUUAGCGAGUGGUAUGGUGCUCGACGCACCGGGAUGAGCGAGGACGAAAUCCCGGGGCGUUACAGUUGGUAUCAGAGCUGACGACGGGUCGCCUGUUGCAGGUGGGAAGUACGCUGGAAAGGCCCAGGGAGCGCCAGGUACUUUUCUACGGCUCUAUUUCUAAGGUGGUAAGAUUGUAACACCCAUGAGUUGGUGUUAGUCCCACAUUGCCAAGGAAGUGGCUCUAUUGGUAGUAUAUAGAGCUUAACCAUACUUUAACUAAUGUCAAAGGCCUUAUGGGGUGAACCACAUGGGUGGGCCCUGAUCCAAAACCCUCUACUGCUGGAUAUCCGCAGUGACUAAAGGGGGACAAUAUUGACAUUAGGGAGCGGUAUGGUGCUCGACGCACCGGGAUGAGCGAGGACGAAAUCCCGGGGCGUUACAGUUGGUAUCAGAGCUGACGACGGGUCGCCUGUUGCAGGUGGGAAGUACGCUGGAAAGGCCCAAGGAGCGCCAGGUACUUGUCUCACUUGGCAGGGAACGUCGGAGAUUUUGGGACUGUAUUGAGUGUACUGCAGAGCCGAGGACGGCUCUAUUUCUAAGGUGGUGAGAUUGUAACACCCAUGAGUUGGUGUUAGUCCCACAUUGCCAAGAAAGUGGUUGUAUUGGUAGUAUAUAGAGCUUAACCAUACUCUAACUAAUGUCAAGGCCUUUUGGGGUGAACCACAUGGGUGGGCCCUGAUCCAAAACCCUCUACUGCUGGAUAUCCGCAGUGACUAAAGGGGGACAAUAUUGACAUUAGCGAGCAGUAUUGGUGCUCGACGCACUGGGAUGAGCGAGGACGAAAUCCCGGGGCGUUACAGGUUCAAUGUCGCAGGUUCUGAUUCAGAAAUCUGCAAUCAAGCCAAAGUUAAACACUGUAAGUAUAUUCUUAACUUGUUAUCAAAUUGAUUCUUUUUGUAAUCCGAUUGAGUUCAGAAAUAUUUUGCCUUGGUUAAUAUAUUGUGUAUUGAAUUGAUUGGAUAGAAGAAUUGUUAUUUGUUGGUAUAAAAUGUUUUAUUUGAUUUGAUAUGAGUUUGAUAUGGGAUAUAUAUACAUUAAUAAUUGGAUUCAUAUAUUAUUUUCGAAAGCAUAUGGUGGUUUAUAUUGAUUUUAUUAUCAUGCCUCAAAAUGGGUCUUUUAGGGUUUUCAGGGCGUGACAACUUCCUUGUGAUUCAACCUUUUAUUGGAUUCAUGGAAGUAAUAUUGCUCGCAACUAUAAGGAGCUAAAAAUCCCGGUAUGUUAGGAUAUCCAGCAUCUACCACGUAAUAUUGACCUACAAUUAAAAAAAAAUUAAUGUCAAUAUAACUCGAAGUACUAAUUCCUUUCUGUACAAAGUAAUUCAAAACGUAUUGAACACUAUCAAAGUAAUUUAUUCGGUGGAGACGCAAUAAAAGCCUUGAAGUGGAAACUCGUGUGAAAACUAUCGACAUAUUUAAGGACUAUAAAAGCCUGCACAAUAGCAUUCAUGUACAGGACCAUAAAGCUUGCACAAUAUUGAAGGACUAUAAAAACUUGUAGUUCUGACAAUUGAAAAGGAAGUACAACUGUUAUGCUACAGUAAUAUCUAAUGACAAGAAAGAAAAAAAAUAAAUGCCAAAUCUACCAAUACAAAUCACAAGAGCAUGGAUAACUGACUCAUCUUGCAAGUAAAGAUGAGUCAAAUAAAAUGACAGCGUUGGUUGUGGGUUUAAAUGCUACAAUCUUUUUUCAAUAACAUUCCAAUGACAGAAGAGAUAAUUUUAACUGUCCCAUGUUAGAGUUCAUAUCAAUAUUUCUAUUAGCAUGAACGCUUGCCUCCAUGGAAGUAACAUUACCAACAUUGAUUAAUUACAUGUUGUCUUCCAAAUAACUACUUAUUUUUAUUUAUUGAGCUGCAAGCCAUCAACCAUGGACUGCAACUUGUCUCCCCACUAGGUAAGCCUAAAACACCACUAAACGUAUUAAUUAAUCACAUGUUGUUAGAAUUUUUCUUACCUUCACUAGGAAGUGGAAAAUUAUUUUUUGGCCUUGUCAAUGCAUAAGAAAGACACAAGAAUCAUGGGCAGUCCCAUCCCAUUCAGUGUAUACAAAAGUGAACAUCAUAUCUUAAGAACAAGUAGCCAUGACAUUUUGGGUGAUAAGUGCUGACUUUUUACCACGAAAAGUUGAAUGCUUAGAUGUCGGAGAUCAAGCUGCUACAUGAGUAUCAUCCAACACUCCAAUACAAUCCUCUGACAAGAUAUACAAGUUAAUCACUAUGCAAAGUGACUUACAGUUCCAUAAUAAUUCUAUGACAAGAUAAACAAUUGAAUCACUAUGUAAAUGACUUCCAGUUACAUGAUAAGUAUGGAUACCAUUUUUGGAUUACUCAGAAUUUCUGGUUGCACCGGUCCUCUAUUCACUAGCCUAAUCAAAUGAGUGCCUAAAGCUGUUAAUGCUCUAAUUGUCCCUUUACACCAAUAGUGCAUUGUAGCAGAUGAAUGUUGAAAUCUCUCAGCUACAACUCUUUGUGUUACCCCAUGGCACAAAAUUGCCAACCCCAUUGCCAAACAUUUCUCUACACUAACAUCUUUACAAUUUUGUAGUAAACCCAUCAUUUUCAACCUAUUACACAAAUUUCUAAACACGUGUGGCCUCAUACGAAAACCUUCGUAACAUCUUGUGGGAUUUUCAACUAAUAUUUCAAGAAUGUAUUUCUUGCCACUAAGCAUAGAUGCCCUACAAGGAAUCUUGUCCACGAAAAAACUUUCACAUUCAAGAAUAUAUCUCACCAUAAGUAAAUCUAUCAUAUCAUCAUCAUAAUCAUCAUCACUGGAACUGGAAUCACUACAUGAUGAACCUUGCAUAGAACUGCUAGUCAAAUCUUGUGCCAUUUCACUGCAUUACGAUUAGAAAGAGUGUUAAUCAUUCACUACAAGAAAAUCAGUUUAUUGGGACGGACCUACGACUGCCUUAGCCGCGGUCCGGGUCUAUAGCAAAAUUAGCCACGGUUGAUUUCCGUGGCAAAUGUUAUAAAGCCGUGGCAAAAUCUUGAUCAAAUAUUUAAGAUUGUUGGGAAAAUUUCCUACAGUUAUGAACCAUGGGAACGAAGUGAGUAUGGACCGUAUGAUUCUUGUUUCUUAUCUCGAGAUUUAUCUACAGUCAAUACAAUUUGGUUAAACAAAUAACGAAAAGAAAAAAAAAAAAAAAAGAGAGAGAGAAAAAACGAAAAGCUUUCUUCCUUUUGAGAAAUCAAAAUCAGGAAUCGAAGAACCCUAUCAUCUUCUCUGUUGAUUUUGAGAAAUUGCCACCUUUCUUCAGAAAUCGUUCAGAAAUCGAAGAAGCCUAUCAUUCAGAGUCUCAAUUUCUGAAAUUGAGAACCCUAUCAUCUUCUCUGUUGAUUUUGAGAAAUUGCAAAGUCUCAAUUUGAGAUCGCAAUCAUCUUCUUUGUUGAAACCUUAUCAUCUUCAACUUGCAAAUUCGGUUGAAUCGACUUUUGGUAUAAUUUCUGCUGAAUCGACUUUUGGUGUACUUCACAUGUAAUUUCUUAUAAUUCUUCAAUAAAUUUGUUUAUCUUUUUAAUUUUUAAUUUUGGUGGUGGUUUGUUUUGUUUAUAUUUUCAUUUUUUUUUUCUUUUCGAAAAUCCAUGCUAGUAUAUUUGAUAAUGUUCACAUGGUAUUCAAGUUUCACAUCACUCUAGCUUUAUGGUUUUCGUAGUAUCGAGAUUUUGGUAAAUUAUAUACAGUAGUAGGGUAUUUGUCCAUUUUCAUUGAAGUGAGGAUACCUUAUGGCUUAAGUAUUUACAAACUACUAGGUACUAUUUUUCUUAUACUUUGGCAUGUAUUUAACAAAGUUAUAUAUAUAGUCCAAAAUUCUUCAACCAAGCAGUGAUAUCGAUUCUUUGAUAAAUGGCAAAAAUUUGUCCAUUUAGUACUAUAAAGAUAUUAUCACCUAUCGACAAACCAAAAAUUUAGAAUUGGACAGACAAUGAAAUCUUUGGUUUCUAUUACUUGUAUAAGGCUGAAUGUGGGAAUUAUUGUCGUAUUAUGAUAAUGGUGUAUGAUAGUAACUAGAAGAAACUAGCGAGCUCAGUUUUUUCAAAUUUCAUUAUUUUGCGCAAAAAUAGUUUUAGGGUUAAGUGUAAUUUGUAGAUGAUAAACACUGUAUGUACUUGACAUUCACCAUGGUUUUUACUUGUAUUGUUUGUUAAAGGGUUUCUUUGAUUCUGUCUGUGUGUGAUUUUGCUCCAAUGAUUUCGAGUUUGAGCUCAUCCAAUAAUUUCAUUCCUGGAUGCCUGGAUUUUGUUUGGUUUUGUAUUACUCGAGUGAUGAUGGUACCUGUGCUGAGCAUUAAUACCCUGAAUGAUCUACAAGUAGUAGUAGUAGAUUCAUGUUUAAUAAUUUCGCAGGUAAUUUUCUUAUAAUUCUCUCAUAGCGCUUAUGAGCAGGGUCCCAUCAUGGAUCUCUCACACCUUACUAGUGGUGACUACCACGUGCUUGAAAUAUUGAAUGAACCCAGGAUUUUUAUUGAGGGGUUCAGGUCGACAUAUGCGAGAUACCUAUAGACAACAUAUUUCUGUACGGAUAAUUCUACUAUAAUUCAUAUGAUACUUGCUGACUUCUGGGAGUUCCAUUAUCUAGACUCCAGUGCACUUACUUUCCCCAGAUACAAUUCAUGGGACAGUCCAUCAUCUCAAUCGUUAUUGGUCCCAUCUCCAAAUCUAGUGAAGGACCUUCAGUUUGUUCUUUGCUGCCCUGGCAGGCUAGGAUUUCCUCACCACAUUUCAGGUUGGUCAUCAUAGAUUGUCUCUCCAUCUGCUUGUGUGGUGAAGCAUGUUUGUCCUAAUAGAAGGGCCAUUCUAAAAGAAUUUAUCAUACCUUCUUUUAAUAUUUUCUACUAGCGCGGUUGGCCAAAUGUAAUGGACUAGUUGAUGGGUAAUCAGCACAAGAUUGAAUGUAUAAAUUGAGACCUUCCUGCCCAGAAGAUAUGUCUAGACAAGCGCUAAAGGCCUAAAAAUUAUUUGAUAGCUGGAGGUUGAAAAUGAAGACCACAAGUUGUGCUUCAUCCAAUUCCAAUGACAUCCUUCCUGCCAUGACUAUUGAAGUUCAAUGUCAC
rnacentral:lncRNA from 1 species